UACGUAGGGUGCGAGCGUUGUCCGGAAUUAUUGGGCGUAAAGGGAGCGUAGGCGGUUCUUUAAGUCUUCUGUGAAAUCUACGGGCUUAGCCUGUAACGUGCAGAGGAAACUGGAGGGCUUGAGUGUCGGAGAGGAAAGGGGAAUUCCUGGUGUAGCGGUGGAAUGCGCAGAUAUCAGGAGGAACACCGGUGGCGAAGGCGGGUCUCUGGGCAGUAACUGACGCUGAGGAGCGAAAGCGUGGGGAGCGAACAGG
rnacentral:rRNA from 1 species